CACUCAUUCAUUCGCAGAAUUCGCUCGCUCAUUCAUUCAAUCAAUCAUUCACUGAAUUCUUUUCGAAAUUCCGAGUUGAAAAAAUCUUGAUUCCGAAAUAUUCGGAAAUAAAAGCUAACAAAAAAGCAAUUUUCAUUGCUCAUAAUGGUCAUUUUACCGUAUUUACUUAAAUACACUUCAAAUGCAUCGUGACCAGUUGCUCGUCCACCAAGUCCAGGGUUUUUUCCCUGCCACGUGAUGAAGCAUUGCAGGCUCUAAGGAUGCAGUACACAGAUGAGCCAGAUGCAGUACUUCCUGCCUGCAAAUCCUUUAUCAGGAACUAUGACAAAGGAGCAACUUCGUCAAAGAAAGGUCUGCCAAUCACAUUUUGAGGAUAAAUAAAUCCAAAACAAUCUAUUGGUUAUGAUGAAUGGAUGUCCUAUUUUUUAUUCAUCCAUGAAGAUAAUAAUAACAUCUCGGCGACCAUCCAAGCUGUUGCUGAUCAGGUCAUCCAAAACUGUAUCCUGCCAUCUACAUCAGAGCCACAUUAUGGAUAAUAUUAUUGCUGCGUCCUAAGGUUCAGCUUGCAAAUAAACUCAUCAAACAGAGGCGGUACAUACAAACAAAAGGUGGACUCUUUGUUUUUUUUAAAACGGAGCCCGAAAGCGUAUGAGCUAUUUCGCCACAUAUUUAUAUCUUUAGUCAACGAUCAAGAAAAUGAAGGUAUUGAGUGAAAAAACUGCCGCAAUGAUACAGCACCAAAUUUGAUUCCGGCCCAGUGUAUAGUUUUUUCAACUAAAGUUUUUUGUUAUUUUUGCCUCAAGAAUGUACUUAUUGUGAAUUUCUUUGUUAAUGGCUGUAUAGUUUUACUUGAGUCAAAGAAAAUCGUAGUUGUUGUAUAAACAAAUAAUUUAUAAAUCUAUUAGGGUAAAUUUUAUUGUCGUCUUUUUUUUCUUAGAAACUUGCAAUACAUUAUUCACUUUUUGGAAACUGAUAAUUACUUGUUAAUACCAUAAUUUACUAUGGAAAAUUGUACUGUUAAGUAGGUCUUUUGUUGAUGGCUGUAUAGUUUUACGCAAGUUAAAGAAAAUCGUAGUAUAUUUUUUUCUACACAAAUUUUACUUAUAAGGGGGCAUAAUAAUUAUGAUUGUUUGUUUGUUUAUAUUGAACAGGCUCCGAAACUAAGUACUGGACCAAUUUGAAAAAUUAUUUCACAAUUAGAAUCCUUCAUUUUCCCUAAUGAAGAUAGGCUAAAACCGGAUUUUUACUGGCGGUACGAAGUUCGCCGGGUCAGCUAGUUUCUUAUAAACAUGCAAAUACGGUAAAAAUGAUUAAUUUUGUUAAUGGCUGUCUAGUGUUACGCAAUUACAGGUAAUCAUCAUUUUUAUUGUAAACAGAAUUAGGUACCAUUUAUAAUUUAUAAAUAGCUUUUGCCCGCGGCUUCACCCGCGUGAAAUUUAGUGCUACAGAUUGGCAUAAAUUAUAAUUUAUUAUGUAACAAAUAAUAAUACUGUAAAGUUUCAACCAAAUCCGUUCAGUAGUUUUUGCGUGAAAGAGUAACAAACAUCCACACAAACUUUGACCUUUAUAAUAUUAGUAGGAUUUAUAGUCUGCGACAAUAGAAAUGUUCCUGUUGGCUUCAAUGGUGGGUACCUAUUUAUUACAAAAAGUUAAACUCUAGGUAAAAUUGACAUUUAGUAUGGAAAUGUAAUUUUAAACCAGUGUUCAUCCCAUUCAUAGAGGAGGUUUAAUUCUCUAAGGUUCAUCCCGGGCUUAAUUUUUUGUAAUAAUGGGUUUUAUGACUAAAAUUGACUCAAACAGAGAUAAAUUAACUAAGAAUCUUUAACAUUUACUUACUUGGCAAUUAAAGAUAGAUUUACUCAAAUCCUACUUCCUACUUAAAUUAUAAAUGCGGAAGUUUGGAUGGAUGUCUGGAAUCUGGAUGUUAACAUGUUUGUUACCCUUUCACGCAAAAACUACUGAACGGAUUUUGAUGAAACUUUGCAGUAUUAUACUUUAAAACCCAAAAUAACUAACAUACAGGGUGGAAUUUUGUAAUGCCACUCGGAGGUAAAGUACUCUUAAUACUGUAGAUACAAAAUUGUAGUCAAAGAAAACAUUCCUUUAUUUUUUAAAAGAAAUAGAACUGCAUUCAAAGAUUUCCAAAACUUAGCUUGCCACACCCGGGAAUCGAACCAACUAAAAUCUGUGAAAAAACUACACCCUUUAUUUUAUUGCACCGAUCGUGAAAGUUAAGUAUAAGGAUGAAAUCUUAAAUUAUUGUAAUUAUUUACGGAAAAUUGUAUGGUAUGGUGGUGAAUUUCGCAAAAUUUUUCGGAAAUCUGAAUGCAGUUCUCUUUCUUUACAAAAAUAAAGGAAUGUUUCCUUUGAGAUAAAUUUUUCUAUCUACAGUAUUAAGAAUACUUUCCUUCCAGGUGGCAUUACAAAAUUCCACCCUGUAUAGGCUAUAAUUUAUGACGAUAUUUGACAAACUAAAUUACACGCGUGUGAAGCCGCGGGCAACAGCUAGUUACUAAAUAUUAUGUUCAUAAAUAGUUCAGUCUCAAUGUUAUUGAUGAAAAUAAAGCCCAACCAGACUUUAUUUUCUAUUGGCGCGGUAGGUUUUCUUUUAUUUUUCUUAAAAACCCGCAGUUGAUGAUUCUGUGAAUUAAUGGCUGUAUAGUUUUACUUAUUACUAAUAGUAUUUCAUAGUUUCCUAAGUUUAUGGUGCUUACUUUAUCGAGUUAUGCGCGGAUGAUUUUUUAUUCCAUUAUUAUUUUGUAAUUUUCCUUACGGAAUAAGAAAUCAUCCGGUUGGUAUUUAUCUUCGAACGUGUAGAUAAUUCUAAGAUGUACUUCAUGUUCAGACUCAAGUGCUCAAAAGAUAGGACCACCUUUGUAAUUUUGUCGUUAGUUGUAUGCAUUUGUUUUUAAGUUGUAUUUUUAUGAAAUAAAUUUUUUAAUAAAACUUA